rnacentral:rRNA from 1 species
CGACCGGCGCACGGGUGAGUAACACGUAUCCAACCUGCCGUCUACUCUUGGACAGCCUUCUGAAAGGAAGAUUAAUACAAGAUGGCAUCAUGAGUCCGCAUGUUCACAUGAUUAAAGGUAUUCCGGUAGACGAUGGGGAUGCGUUCCAUUAGAUAGUAGGCGGGGUAACGGCCCACCUAGUCUUCGAUGGGUAGGGGUUCUGAGAGAAAGGUCCCCCACAUUGGAACUGAGACACGGUCCAAACUCCUACGGGAGGCAGCAUG